rnacentral:lncRNA from 10 species
CAGCAUCAUAGACUACAGAGAAAUCUUUUGUGAAAAGAAGAGUCAGUCAAUGCAGCAAACUUCAUUGUUGUCUUAUUUUUAGAAAUUGCCACUGUCACCCCAGCCUUCAACAACCACCACCCUGAUCAGUCAGCAGCCAUCAAUGAGGCAAGAUCCACCAGAAACAGAAACAGACUAGGACUCUCUGAAAGCUCAGCUGAUUGUUAACAUUUUCUGGCAAUAUUUUUAAUCAAGGUAAUUAUUCUUUCUGCUUCUUCAAUCUGCUAAAUACAAGAUGUCAAAAGUCCUGGAAAUGGCUAGAAUCUGUCCUGAACUCUUGGCAUCUUCUGAUACUCAACGAUGGAGCACGGCGUGAACAUCAUCCUGCUGCCCUACACAAUAUUGUCUAGACUAUGGGUAGCUAAAAAAUCUAUUUGCAAUUAAUAAUAAAGAAAUAAAAACAAAGUUCUGAUUAAGUAUUCUGCUGUAUAUUUUCCUAGAAUAUUGGCUACUUAAAUGUUUUCCAUAUAAUUAUUAAAUAAAUAUUUAUUCUGAAGCGGUCCAUCUCUAUUCUGAUCUAGCCCAUGUUGAAUUUUUUCUUCAGAAAGGAAAAGAGAUUUUUCUCCUGCAUUUAAUCCAGUGAUUAUUUUUCAUUUAAACAUCAGGCAUCUGGUUAAUACACUCAAGGUGUGCAAAAAGUGUGGCUGACACAUCAUUUCACUGUACGUUCCUCUGUACAGAACACUUCCAACCACAGUGUUGCUAGCCCUGGAAAGAACAUUUAGCACCUAGACCACCGAUGUUAUUGUAACGAUUGUUGGUAAUUCUAACUUGUGUCAUGGGAAAGGAGAAAGACAUUUCUGAUGAAAAAUAAUAAAAUUCUACUGCAAGAGAUAUUGAAAGUCAAAUCUGUGUAUCUGGCCCAGAAGCAGUAGGUUUUACUUAACAGAGGAGAAGGAAAUCAAAACUGAGAUUUGCAAGCCUGGAUGUGGUGACCACUAUUAACUA